rnacentral:sRNA from 1 species
UGUACAUCCAUUCCGCCUGCCCUCCGAUCACCUAUUCCCAGGUACAGGUACACCAGACGACUUCCUCAACCAGCACCACCAGCACUCAUGUCCAUAUUACACAUUUAGGGGAAAUCCAUGAUGGCGCUGGACACAUGCUCCUCAACGGAUUGCCUGGUCUCCGACGAUGCUCGAAGGUCGGAGAAGGUUCCAUGUUGCAAACUGUAACGAACGUUUGGCUGGAGGGGUAAUUUUUGCAAGGAAUUUUGGCCAUUUUCGACCAUCAACCAUGCGGAUGGGGGAAUAAGUAAUAUCAUGCCCUUCAUACAGCAUGAUCAUGCUUCUUUAAAUAGCCCAUUUUCAAGACAACAAUCACCACGUUGUAGGGAAAUACCCGAGUCUCCGUCCUAUUGGUUAACCGGUUCAGUCGGUUCCGUUCCAUUGCCACCCACAGCAGAUAACAGAAUAUCGACUCCUUGGUAUCAAUUCUAUGGAAUACAAAGCCUUCCUAGGGUAGUGUAGUGGUAUAAUUGAACUCGGGUCUCAUAUCGAGUUGUUGUUGUGCUGUGUGUAUAUUAUCAAUAUAGGCUCCAUGAGCAUAACUAACAGUUAUGUACCUAUGUACUUGGAAUCUCCCAUAAGCUGUCUGGUAGCUAACCAUGGAAGGGGUAGUUACUCUCACAAGCUCUUGGAUUAUUCUUCUCUGACUCUUUUGUU